AUUGAACGCUGGCGGCAGGCCUAACACAUGCAAGUCGAGCGGCAGAAGGGAGCUUGCAACAGGAUUCAGCGGCGGACGGGAAAGUAAUGCCAAGGAAUAUGCCUGGUAGUGGGAGAUAACGUCCGGAAACGGGCGCUAAUACCGAAUACGUCCUGAGGGAGAAAGUGGGGGAUACUCGGACCUCACGCUAUCAGAUGAGCGGAGGUCGGAUUAGCUAGUUGGUGGGGUAAAGGCCUACCAAGGCGACGAUACGUAACUGGUCUGAGAGGAUGAUCAGUCACAUUGGAACUGAGCUACGGUCCAGGCUCCUACGGGAGGCAGCGGUGGGGAAUAUUGGACAAGGGGCUAAAGCCUGCUCCAGCCAUGCCGCGUGUGUGAAGAAGGUCUUCGGAUUUUAAAUCUCUUUUAGUUUGGUGGAAGGGCAGUAAGUUAAUACCUUGCUGUUUUGACGUUACCAACAGAAUAAGCACCGGCUAACUUCGUG
rnacentral:rRNA from 1 species